AUGAUUCCAUAUUUCACAAUUGAACUGCAUUUGAGGUUUUUGUUAAGGUCACGGACCCCAGUUAGAAACUGCUGUUCUGAGGCCCCUCAGCCGCCUGGAGACAAAGCUGGAAGCAGAGGCAGUGUGUGUUUUCCUGCUGCCGGUGGACAGGCGCGCAGGAUGCAUUUCCCUCAUCGAACCAGGGAGCGGAGACCCCCGAGCAAGAGAGGGAAGUCCUCGGACCAUCAGCGAGGCAGGUUGCAGAAUGUCCUGGGCCGGACCGCAGCUGGGGGCUUUGAGAGUCCUGGGCAAGGAAGCGACGACCCUGAACCGUCUGAAGCGCCAGGCACGGGGCUCCUGGAGCAGUGUCUCUCUCAAGGACUUGCUGGAUCCUUGACAGCCUCUCCUGGUAUUCUUGCCUUAUCAGAUGUGGACAUCUCCGACACAGGCAAGAUAAAUUCCCAUCCUCAGCCUAGAGAAGCAGUUGGCCUGCUCACUGCAUCUCUGAAAAUGGAUGAGUGGCUAGGCCAGGUCCCUCUGGAAGGGCAACUUUGUGUCCAUUAAAAUACAAAUGCGGAACUCCUGUAAUUUUGUGUGUGUGUAUGUGUGCAAAUACCAAGCUGUAAUCUUAGUUGACCCACCCAGUUGCCUAGGGUCUGGUGCACAGUUCCC
rnacentral:lncRNA from 1 species